rnacentral:rRNA from 1 species
UACGUAGGAAGCGAGCGUUGUCCGGAUUUACUGGGCGUAAAGGGCGCGUAGGCGGCUCGGCACGUCCGUUGUGAAAUCGCCCGGCUCAACUGGGCGGGGUCAGCGGAUACGGUCGAGCUUGAGCAAGCUAGGGGGCAAUGGGAAUUCCCGGUGUAGCGGUGAAAUGCGCAGAUAUCAGGAAGAACACCAAUGGCGAAGGCAGCUCUCUGGGACGGUACUGACGCUGAGACGCGAAAGCGUGGGGAGCGAACAGG